rfam:Ipomoea nil DNA, scaffold: scaffold2735, cultivar: Tokyo-kokei standard.
GUGAGCCGCAUGCGGGGAGACCCGCACGUACGGUUCUAAGGGGGAUCCGGUCGAAAAAUCUGCCAACACCCAUCCGAC